rnacentral:rRNA from 1 species
AGCAUAUCAAUAAGCGGAGGAAAAGAAACCAACAGGGAUUGCCCUAGUAACGGCGAGUGAAGCGGCAACAGCUCAAAUUUGAAAUCUGGCUCUUUUAGGGUCCGAGUUGUAAUUUGCAGAGGGCGCUUUGGCGUUGGCAGCGGUCCAAGUUCUUUGGAACAGGACGUCACAGAGGGUGAGAAUCCCGUACGUGGUCGCUAGCCUUCGCCGUGUAAAGCCCCUUCGACGAGUCGAGUUGUUUGGGAAUGCAGCUCUAAAUGGGAGGUAAAUUUCUUCUAAAGCUAAAUACUGGCCAGAGACCGAUAGCGCACAAGUAGAGUGAUCGAAAGAUGAAAAGCACUUUGGAAAGAGAGUCAAAUAGCACGUGAAAUUGUUGAAAGGGAAGCGCUUGCAGCCAGACUUGCCUGUAGUUGCUUAUCUAGACUUUUGUCUAGUGCACUCUUCUGCGGGCAGGCCAGCAUCAGUUUAGGCGGUUGGAUAAAGGUCUCUAUCACGUACCUCCCUUCGGGGUUGGCCUUAUAGGGGAGACGACAUGCAACCAGCCUGAACUGAGGUCCGCGCAUCUGCUAGGAUGCUGGCGUAAUGGCUGUAAGCGGCCCGUCUUGAAACACGGACCAAGGAGUCUAACAUCUAUGCGAGUGUUUGGGUGUCAAGCCCAGACGCGUAAUGAAAGUGAACGGAGGUGGGAACCUUUUAGGUGCACCAUCGACCGAUCCUGAUGUCUUCGGAUGGAUUUGAGUAAGAGCAUGGCUGUUGGGACCCGAAAGAUGGUGAACUAUGCUUGAAUAGGGUGAAGCCAGAGGAAACUCUGGUGGAGGCUCGCAGCGGUUCUGACGUGCAAAUCGAUCGUCAAAUUUGGGCAUAGGGGCGAAAGACUAAUCGAACUAUCUAGUAGCUGGUUCCUGCCGAAGU